GGAUAACACUUGGAAACAGGUGCUAAUACCGUAUAACACUAUUUUCCGCAUGGAAGAAAGUUGAAAGGCGCUUUUGCGUCACUGAUGGAUGGACCCGCGGUGCAUUAGCUAGUUGGUGAGGUAACGGCUCACCAAGGCCACGAUGCAUAGCCGACCUGAGAGGGUGAUCGGCCACACUGGGACUGAGACACGGCCCAGACUCCUACGGGAGGCAGCAGUAGGGAAUCUUCGGCAAUGGACGAAAGUCUGACCGAGCAACGCCGCGUGAGUGAAGAAGGUUUUCGGAUCGUAAAACUCUGUUGUUAGAGAAGAACAAGGAUGAGAGUAAAAUGUUCAUCCCUUGACGGUAUCUAACCAGAAAGCCACGGCUAACUACGUGCCAGCAGCCGCGGUAAUACGUAGGUGGCAAGCGUUGUCCGGAUUUAUUGGGCGUAAAGCGAGCGCAGGCGGUUUCUUAAGUCUGAUGUGAAAGCCCCCGGCUCAACCGGGGAGGGUCAUUGGAAACUGGGAGACUUGAGUGCAGAAGAGGAGAGUGGAAUUCCAUGUGUAGCGGUGAAAUGCGUAGAUAUAUGGAGGAACACCAGUGGCGAAGGCGGCUCUCUGGUCUGUAACUGACGCUGAGGCUCGAAAGCGUGGGGAGCGAACAGGAUUAGAUACCCUGGUAGUCCACGCCGUAAACGAUGAGUGCUAAGUGUUGGAGGGUUUCCGCCCUUCAGUGCUGCA
rnacentral:rRNA from 1 species